rnacentral:lncRNA from 1 species
CUUGCAGUUAAGUUGAGCAAGCUUCAGUUGUACAGCUACAUCAGACGGAACGCAGCUGGACUGAAGAAGGAACUUGCAUAAAGAAGAGUGAACUUGAUAUCAUUAGUAUCAUUCUGAGUCACUUUUUUCUGACAUUCUGAUUUAAUAUAUGACUCUCUCCACCUAUUAAAGGUGUGUUUUUCUGACACAAACAUAUCCUUGUGUAGAAACUUCUUUCAAGCACCUCGAAGAAACUAUGUUCACUUCUGACUGUGAUGCCAAGAGCUUCUAAUGCCAACAGAAAAUUAAGAAAAGAUAUUUCUGCUCAGAGUAUGCAAAGGAUGAUAGGGUCAGGACCCAGCUGCCUGUGCUUGUGAAGCA